AGUGAUAUAGCUCAGUGGUAAAGCACUUGUCUAGAAUGCAUAAGGUCCUGGAUUCAAUCUCCAUUACCACAC
rnacentral:tRNA from 1 species